rnacentral:rRNA from 1 species
UACGGAGGGAGCUAGCGUUGUUCGGAAUUACUGGGCGUAAAGCGCACGUAGGCGGCUUUGUAAGUCAGAGGUGAAAGCCUGGAGCUCAACUCCAGAACUGCCUUUGAGACUGCAUCGCUUGAAUCCAGGAGAGGUGAGUGGAAUUCCGAGUGUAGAGGUGAAAUUCGUAGAUAUUCGGAAGAACACCAGUGGCGAAGGCGGCUCACUGGAGCUGGUAUUGACGCUGAGGUGCGAAGGCGUGGGGAGCAAACAGG